rnacentral:rRNA from 1 species
GUGGGGAAUAUUGCGCAAUGGGCGAAAGCCUGACGCAGCGACGCCGCGUGAGGGACGAAGGUCUUCGGAUUGUAAACCUCUUUCAGCAGGGACGAAGCGAAAGUGACUGUACCUGCAGAAGAAGCACCGGCUAACUACGUGCCAGCAGCCGCGGUAAUACGUAGGGUGCAAGCGUUGUCCGGAUUUAUUGGGCGUAAAGAGCUCGUAGGCGGUUUGUCGCGUCGGAUGUGAAAACCCAAUGGCUUAACCUUGGGCCUGCAUUCGAUACGGGCAAACUAGAGUGUGGUAGGGGAAACUGGAACUCCUGGUGUAGCGGUGGAAUGCGCAGAUAUCAGGAAGAACACCGAUGGCGAAGGCAGGUUUCUGGGCCAUAACUGACGCUGAGGAGCGAAAGCGUGGGGAGCGAACAGGAUUAGAAACCCGUGUAGUCC